CUGGCCUUGACAUGCCACUAACGAAGCAGAGAUGCAUUAGGUACCCGAAGGGGAAAGUGGACACAGGUGCUGCAUGGCUGUCGUCAGCUCGUGUCGUGAGAUGUUGGGUUAAGUCCCGCAACGAGCGCAACCCUUGCCAUUAAUUGCCAUCAUUUAGUUGGGCACUUUAAUGGAACUGCCGGUGACAAACCGGAGGAAGGUGGGGAUGACGUCAAGUCCUCAUGGCCCUAAUGGCCAGGGCUUCACACGUAAUACAAUGGUCGGUACAGAGGGUUGCCAACCCGCAAGGGGGAGCCAAUCCCAGAAAGCCGAUCGUAGUCCGGAUUGAGGUCUGCAACUCGACCUCAUGAAGUCGGAAUCGCUAGUAAUCGCGGAUCAGCAUGUCGCGGUGAAUACGUUCCC
rnacentral:rRNA from 1 species